AGCCUAGGACCUUCUGCUCUGCUGUUGUUGUGCUUUCCCUCACAUUACAAACCAGUGAGAUGCCCAGUAUGGAACUAUGGGAGAUGCAAGAAGUGAAACCGACUAACGCAGUGAUAAAAACAAAUGGAAAUGCGAAAGUCAAACACACAUUUUUCCAGGCAGUGCUUUCCUGCCCAAGGCUGCUGCAGCAUGGAGUACAUACACCCAAACCCACAUAUCUUAGGACCUGAUGACCAGCGAUUCUUACUGCUUCUCUCCUAACUUGAUUUCCUGACCUGCCUGUUUUGUAUCUUCAGUUCAUAAAGCUCUUAGGGCCAGUAAGCAGCCAGCCAGGCAAAAUUGUCAUGCAAUCUAUAAAUAAGCUCUAUACACCUUAUAUAACAUCCACACAGAUUUUUCUGGAGCUGCUUCUGAAACAAUAAGAUUGGCAUACCUUUUUUUUUUAUCUUUUACUGAGUGGUUGGGCGGAACUCAGCUGCCAAUUUUGCUUGACAGGGAUGAUAGAAGCCUACCUACUUCUUCAGACUGUAAUUUGCUCAAUUCCAGCAUACUUUUCCAAAUAAAUGCUUACUUCUGAAGUGCAGGAUGUAACCAUUAUUGAAUCUACUCAUUUCAUUAUCUCUUGCAAUUAAAUGAAUGACUACUGAAUUUUCUAAGCAUGCCUUAUUCCUUUCAUGUAUCACAGAUAGGCUUUGUUUGGCUAAGCAUAGAUUCUCCAAAGACAGCAAUACAAGUCCCUUACUCCAAAUAUUUUUGUCUUAUGAAUGC
rnacentral:lncRNA from 7 species